rnacentral:rRNA from 1 species
GACGAACGCUGGCGGCGUGCUUAACACAUGCAAGUCGAACGGAAAGGCCCUGCUUGCAGGGUACUCGAGUGGCGAACGGGUGAGUAACACGUGGGUGAUCUGCCCUGCACUUCGGGAUAAGCUUGGGAAACUGGGUCUAAUACCGGAUAGGAGCCAUCUUUAGUGUGGUGGUUGGAAAGUUUUUUCGGUGUAGGAUGAGCUCGCGGCCUAUCAGCUUGUUGGUGGGGUAAUGGCCUACCAAGGCGGCGACGGGUAGCCGGCCUGGGAGGGUGUACGGCCAAAUUGGGACUGGGGUACGGCCCAGACCCCUACGGGAGGCAGGAGGUGGGAAGAUUGCACAAUGGGCGCAAGCCCGAUGCAGCGACGCCGGGGGGGGGAGGAAGGCCUUCGGGUUGUAAACUCCUUUCCCUAGGGACGAAGCUGUUUGUGACGGUACCUAGAUAAGAAGCACCGGCUAACUACGUG